rnacentral:rRNA from 1 species
UACAGAGGGUGCAAGCGUUAAUCGGAAUUACUGGGCGUAAAGCGUGCGUAGUCGGCUUUUUAAGUCGGGUGUGAAAUCCCCGGGCUCAACCUGGGAAUUGCAUUCGAUACUGGAUAGCUAGAGUUCGGCAGAGGGAAGUGGAAUUUCUGGUGUAGCGGUGAAAUGCGCAGAUAUCAGGAGGAACACCGGUGGCGAAGGCGGGUCUCUGGGCCGAUACUGACGCUGAGGAGCGAAAGCGUGGGGAGCGAACAGG